AUCGGGCGCAUACCCCCCUCUCCUUCGCGUCGUGUUUUUGGGGUUGGACCAUUUAUCUCGCGUGAGCUACUCGACUCCUUCGUCCGACCCGUACCCUUCUCUGCUUCGCAUCUUUUCCUCUUCCUUCUGCCUCCUAUUCGUCUUCCUUAUCUCUCCCCGCACAGCCGCAGCACCUAGUUAGGGCACGACUUCUUCUUCGUUUCCAUCGAUUCAGCGCGGCGGCUUCUUCUUUGUUUGGAUCGAUUCCCCACGGCUUCUUCUUCUUCGUCUCCUUUGCUUUUCCGGUUGGAACCCUAGGCGGAGGCCGGCACUAGGGUUUUGAUCGAACCCUAGUCGGAGAUCGCCAUGGAUUCAUAUGAGUACCAGAUGGUAUUCAAGAUGCGCAAGACAAAGAUAUACAGCAGGUGGUUGUAUGGGGUCUUCAUGAUGACCAAGGCGCACAAGAAGGAGCUGGGGUUGACCAAGUUGAAGAACCAGAAGGGGAGGAACCAACUGAAUAUCCCCCAUGAGGUCUCCGCAAUGACUUAGGUGGAAGUUAUGCAAGCCUACAUAUAUUACCAGACUGCCUUUCAAGCGUUUCAACAAAACUGUGAAGAAGUUUAGUGAGAUUCAAUUAGGCCAUGUGACAAAGUACAAAAUGGAAGCCCUGCUUCAUAUGCGAAAGAAACUUAAAAUUCCAAUGAAUCUGCUCGAAUGGAUAGAUCAGCAUAUGCUUGGUAGUACAAAGCUCUGUUUCAAGCAUAAGAACAAAGUUAUCAAGAUUACAAAAGAUAUGGUCAACAAAAUUUUUGAUUUCCCUGGUGGCACUGUGCCUUUUGUAUUUAGUAGCGACGAUCCCCAAGUGAAGGCAGAGGUUACAAAGUUGAGGAACAAGUAUGUUGAUCAUCGGAACAAAAUGCCAAUCAACAAAAUAGAGGAGGUGAUGUUUAGUGAUGAGAUAGAAGAUGGUUUUAUCAGGAGCUUCGCUUUUCAUUUCCUAUCAUCUAUUUUGUGCCCUGCGUCAUACUGCUUUGGUAACAUGAAGAUCUUGUACUAUCUAAGAGAUGUUUCUGCUAUCCCUUCACUUGACUUUGGGCAAUUGGCACUGGAUUUCAUGCGUGAGGAGUCAGACGUCACUUUGAAAUGAUCAUGAACAGACCAAGUGUUGAGGAAAUGAACAAGUCUUCUUGAUUGAGGAAAUGCGUGAGGUCCUAUAGGUUGUAGCUUAAAAUAUCUCGAGAAGUGGAUAUCUUCUUUUCCAAAUAUCUGAGGAAUCCUAUCUUCCAAGACUAGUAAAUUCUCUAAUUUCUUUAGUUUUUUUAUCGUUUCAUAUUCAUUAAAUUAUCAGAACUUUUUUUAGUCUAGACAACUACCUACAAAAAUAAUUGUAGACAUUUUCUAAUAUGUGAGCAAUUUUCUACACUAAAUUAGAUAUAGAAAUUUUUCCUUCAUAUUGUAUUAUGUAAUCCCAACAAUUUUUAGGAUCAACCAAAGGUAGUUGAGAUGAAAAACUUUGUAGUUCAUAUAAUUUUAGACUGAAAAGAAAUCAUAUGGAAACCAAACUAAUUUAGUUUACAGCUCAAUGUUCAUAGCCUAUAAAAGGAACUUUAACCUUUUUCUUUUGGCUAUCGUAUUGUUUGCAUAUAUGUAUUUUAUAAAUUGUUAAACUAUAUUUUUAAGAACCAUUUUCUCCAUAUAACAAUAGUAUGCUUCUUUAUUCUGUCCAACACUCUUUUUUGUUGACAUGGAGAGUUUUCCUGUAAGCUAUGAGAAUUACUUAACUUCAUUUAAAGCGAGGGGUGAGAUUGGAGAUGAAGUGAUGAAUCUUUUAUUCAAUUUCUUAACUACGAAUCAAAGAUGUCAUCUGAAGUUAAGCCUUAUAUCAAGAAGUACUGUUUCACUUCGUACUUCACUCUGAGUUUUUGUUCUAAACUCCCUAUUUGCUACUCUUUUGACCAUUUUUUUUACUCAAAUUCAUUGAUUUUUACUAAUUUUUAUUUUGUUGGUCACAGAAUAAAUUGUUGGUUACCCCUGAGUCAUUUGAUCAAGUUAUGUGCAUACGAGAAUUUGAUAGGAUUAAUUCGGAAGAAAGCCUCUGGAAACAAGACUUGUUAUACUUCCCAACUAUAAAAUCAAACCACUGGGUUAUACGUUCCAUCAACUCUCUGUUUGAGAGAUCGCACUUUUUUUAUCCCUGUAGCACUAUCCAGGGAACUACCCAAGAAGAACUUGUUUACAACUUGGUAGGUAAUUAUUGAGACAUAAUAUCCUUUGAUUUCAACAUCAACAAUUUUUUUCUGCUAUACCACUUCUGAAUAAAUUUAACUAUGUGUGUGUGUGUCUAUAUAUAUAUAUAUGUAUGUAUGUAUAUAUAUAUAACAACUUUCUAACUACAACAUGCUUUGCAAGCUGAGUAAAAAGCCAAUCAAGAAUGUAUUCUCAAGCUACAACCUAUAGGACCUUACCCAAAAAAUUGUCUCAUGCAUGACUCGGGCCACUACCUGCCUUUAUACAUGGAAAAUUUUGAAGGCAAAGUUAUGAAGAGUCUCAGUGUGGACAACAUUCCGAAGUACAAAAUGAUCUCUGCGUUCAAGUUAUUCAAAGGCACCUUGAACAAGCUGAAAGAAGAAGAUCUGCCAAGAACAAAUUGACUUUUUCGCAAGAUGCAUCUGCAAACAUUUUGAAUGUGUACUGAUCGAACAAAAGCAUGCAUUUCCAUGUCUGCGACAGUUUCAUCUGUCAUCGUAUGGUAGUAGAUGCAUAGUACUAGUUGUUUAAACAUAUGUUAUCGCAAGCAAGUGUUAUACUCUUUUUGAUAUCUACUUUUCUUCAUGAACUAUAUAGUAUUUUUCUGUUCCAAUUAAUGUGUAUAUGAUGCGUAUCUUUCUUUAUA